rnacentral:rRNA from 1 species
GACGAACGCUGGCGGCGUGCUUAACACAUGCAAGUCGAGCGGUAAGGCCCCUUCGGGGGUACACGAGCGGCGAACGGGUGAGUAACACGUGGGUGACCUGCCCUCAGCUCUGGGAUAAGCCUGGGAAACUGGGUCUAAUACCGGAUAUGACUCCAUGACGCAUGUCGUGGGGUGGAAAGCCUUGUGCGGCUGGGGAUGGGCCCGCGGCCUAUCAGCUUGUUGGUGGGGUGAUGGCCUACCAAGGCGACGACGGGUAGCCGGCCUGAGAGGGCGACCGGCCACACUGGGGACUGAGACACGGCCCAGACUCCUACGGGAGGCAGCAGUGGGGAAUCUUGCGCAAUGGGCGAAAGCCUGACGCAGCGACGCCGCGUG